GAGUGUGUUUUUUUGUCUUGCAGAAUAAAAAGAGUGAUGUGACGCAGCCGUUGAGUGAAGCAGCAACACAAAAACAAACACAGGUGCAGCUGCUGUAGUCUCCUCGUUUUCAUAGGAUGGAACAGAGCUAAAGCUUUUGAGCUGCGAGGGCACGACCGAGACGUGACUGUGGACUCAGAUAUGAGUGAAACAUCAGAUAUGAGUGCGUAAAAUGGUUGUAGUUAAUUGUAUAUUUUUGGAAACACUUAGGAACCCAGUGAAAAAUCAUAUCAUGAUAACUACUGUGCUACAAUAGUUUGAGUGUGUGUGGAGUGUUUUUAUUAUUAUUAAAGUUCAUGGAAAUAUUUGUGCGUAAAAAUGUGCCAUAUUCGAGGCUGCAUGUUUUUAAAUAUGGAAAUAUGAUUGUGAAAUGUAAAAUCGAUAAUGUCAAGAGAAUUUUGAGGUUUAUUCAGUUAAAGAUGACUUAUUUAAAAACAUUUGUCCUUGUAUAUUGCGACUGUUUUUGCCACAUAUUGACAAAAUUACUGCUAAUUUCACCCUCUUUGAUGUUGUUACACAACUUGCUGCU